rnacentral:tmRNA from 1 species
GGGGGUGUUCUGGAUUCUACCCUUGGUUGGAGUGCGCCGCUGCCUGUCGAGAGUCGUGGGUCCUCUCGUUAAAUCCCCCUGCGAAACAAAUAAACGGCAAAACUGAAGAAAUGCCCCUGGCUGCUUAAUGUCAGCCACGUUGGUCUAGCGACACCUGCUAGCUGGAACUAACGACGACAGCAGGCAUGACGCGUGGAGCGGUCCGCGGACCGCGCGUUGUAUCUUCCAUCCGGGGACUGGCUGGUGCCUAAGCGCGUGUCGCGGCAUAGCACCGGCGAGAUUAAAGUGACACUAUACAUGGUAGACGCGGUGCGCGAAGGUCAGGGGCACGUGGGUUCAACUCCCACCACCUCCACCA